CGGCGGACGGGUGAGUAACACGUGGGUAACCUGCCUGUAAGACUGGGAUAACUCCGGGAAACCAGGGCUAAUACCGGAUGGUUGUUUGAACCGCAUGGUUCAAACAUAAAAGGUGGCUUCGGCUACCACUUACAGAUGGACCCGCGGCGCAUUAGCUAGUUGGUGAGGUAACGGCUCACCAAGGCGACGAUGCGUAGCCGACCUGAGAGGGUGAUCGGCCACACUGGGACUGAGACACGGCCCAG
rnacentral:rRNA from 1 species